rnacentral:rRNA from 1 species
CCCUUAGAUGUUCUGGGUCGCACGCGCGCUACACUGAUUCAUGCAACAAGUUUUGUCCUUGGCUGAUAGGCCUGGGUAAUCUUUGAACGUGAAUCGUGAUGGGGAUAGAUGAUUGCAAUUAUUCAUCUUCAACGAGGAAUUCCUAGUAAACGCAAGUCAUCAGCUUGCAUUGAUUACGUCCCUGCCCUUUGUACACACCGCCCGUCGCACCUACCGAUUGAAUGGUCCGGUGAAAUCUUCGGAUCUGAGAGAUGUCUGAUUAAUUUCGGACGCCUUUUGGAAAAGUUGCUUAAACCUUACCAUUUAGAGGAAGGUGAAGUCGUAACA